rnacentral:rRNA from 1 species
UAGGGAAUCUUCCGCAAUGGGCGAAAGCCUGACGGAGCAACGCCGCGUGAGUGAUGAAGGUCUUCGGAUCGUAACACUCUGUUAUUAGGGAAGAACAAAUGUGUAAGUAACUAUGCACGUCUUGACGGUACCUAAUCAGAAAGCCACGGCUAACUACGUGCCAGCAGCCGCGGUAAUACGUAGGUGGCUAGCGUUAUCCGGAAUUAUUGGGCGUAAAGCGCGCGUAGGCGGUUUUUUAAGUCUGAUGUGAAAGCCCACGGCUCAACCGUGGAGGGUCAUUGGAAACUGGAAAACUUGAGUGCAGAAGAGGAAAGUGGAAUUCCAUGUGUAGCGGUGAAAUGCGCAGAGAUAUGGAGGAACACCAGUGGCGAAGGCGACUUUCUGGUCUGUAACUGACGAUGAUGUGCGAAAGCGUGGGGAUCAAACAGG